AUUAAAAACUGUUGCGUUGCGUAACAAUUAAAGUCGCGAUUUUGUCGUUGUGCAGAAAAAUUCCAUAAAUGAUCAAAAGUAUAUUAUACAGAACUGGUACAGCAACGAGCCGCAGCAGCAGGUGCUGCAGAUCCCGAAAGAUGUUCCUCCAGCUUGUCAGCCUCUUCAUCGUCAAACUUUAAAUCGAUACCGCCCGAUAAGCAAAACUCAGCAGCAAUGAGAUCAUGCGGCACUCUAUCGAAGAAUCCGCGGGUUCGGAAGGAGCAGAAAGCGGCCCCUGAGUGGCGCCAGCUUCGACAAAUCCGAUCAACAUCUUCUAAUGGCAGCAGAUCUACGUCAAGAAAGCAGAAAUAACGAAAGUGGUCAUUGAGAUGCAAGAGACAAGUGCUGCUAAUCAAGCGCAUACAGCUACCAAGAUCCAGUUUCUGCAGAUGGUGCGCAAACACAUAAUCGUGAACUAAAGAAGAAAA